GGACGAUCUGUAGCUGGUCUGAGAGGAUGAUCAGCCACACCNGGGACUGAGACACGGCCCGGACUCCUACGGGAGGCAGCAGUGGGGAAUAUUGGACAAUGGGGGCAACCCUGAUCCAGCCAUGCCGCGUGUGUGAAGAAGGCCUUUUGGUUGUAAAGCACUUUAAGCAGUGAAGAAGACUCCGUGGUUAAUACCCACGGACGAUGACAUUAGCUGCAGAAUAAGCACCGGCUAACUCUGUGCCAGCAGCCGCGGUAAUACAGAGGGUGCAAGCGUUAAUCGGAAUUACUGGGCGUAAAGCGAGCGUAGGUGGCUUGAUAAGUCAGAUGUGAAAUCCCCGGGCUUAACCUGGGAACUGCAUCUGAUACUGUUAAGCUAGAGUAGGUGAGAGGGAAGUAGAAUNUCAGGUGUAGCGGUGAAAUGCGUAGAGAUCUGAAGGAAUACCGAUGGCGAAGGCAGCUCCCUGGCAUCAUACUGACACUGAGGCUCGAAAGCGUGGGUAGCAAACAGGAUUAGAUACCCUGGUAGUCCACGCCGUAAACGAUGUCUACUAGUCGUUGGGUCCCUUGAGGACUUAGUGACGCAGCUAACGCAAUAAGUAGACCGCCUGGGGAGUACGGCCGCAAGGUUAAAACUCAAAUGAAUUGACGGGGGCCCGCACAAGCGGUGGAGCAUGUGGUUUAAUUCGAUGCAACGCGAAGAACCUUACCUGGUCUUGACAUAUCUAGAAUCCUGCAGAGAUGCGGGAGUGCCUUCGGGAAUUAGAAUACAGGUGCUGCAUGGCUGUCGUCAGCUCGUGUCGUGAGAUGUUGGGUUAAGUCCCGCAACGAGCGCAACCCUUGUCCUUAGUUACCAGCGGGUUAAGCCGGGAACUCUAAGGAUACUGCCAGUGACAAACUGGAGGAAGGCGGGGACGACGUCAAGUCAUCAUGGCCCUUACGACCAGGGCUACACACGUGCUACAAUGGUAGGUACAGAGGGCAGCUACACAGCGAUGUGAUGCGAAUCUCAAAAAGCCUAUCGUAGUCCAGAUUGGAGUCUGCAACUCGACUCCAUGAAGUAGGAAUCGCUAGAAUCGCGAUCAGA
rnacentral:rRNA from 1 species